rnacentral:rRNA from 1 species
UUGGCGUCGCAUAACAGUAAUUCGAAUAAAUCAACGCGUCGACGCAAUGGUAAAUGGACGCUUGUCUAUGCGGAAGCAUAUCGUUCGAAAAAAGAUGCUGUUAUGCGUGAGUCGCGAUUAAAGCAUCAUGGUAGUAGCAAACACGAAUUAUUGAAAAGAAUCAGUAGUAGUUUGCUUGAGGCCAAAAGUGAGGCUGGGUAAAGUCGCAAGACGCUUUGGGAGCGGCCUAGGUCCGAUCAGCUAGUUGGUGAGGUAAUGGCUCACCAAGGCUAUGACCGGUAGGGGGGCUGAGAGGCUGAUCCCCGACGACGAGACUGAGACACGGCUCGUACACCUACGGGUGGCAGCAGUCGAGAAUAUUCCACAAUGGGCGAAAGCCUGAUGGAGCGACGCCGCGUGCAGGAUGAAGGCCUUCGGGUCGUAAACUGCUUUUAGCUGGGAGGAAGCGCAAGCUGACAGUACCAGCUGAAUAAGGGGUUCCUAACUCUGUGCCAGCAGGAGCGGUAAUACAGAGACCCCGAGCGUUAUCCGGAUUUACUGGGCGUAAAGCGCGCGUAGGAGGUUGUGUGCGUCAUAUCUUAAAUCUCCGGGCUCAACCUGGAAACUGGAUGUGAUACGGCACGGCUAGAGGGCACCAGAGGCAGAUGGAACGCACGGUGUAGGGGUGAAAUCCGUUGAUAUCGUGCGGAACACCAAAGGCGAAGGCAUUCUGCUGGGAUGUCCCUGACUCUAAGGCGCGAAAGCGUGGGGAGCAAAAAGGAUUAGAUACCCUUGUAGUCCACGCCCUAAACGAUGCCGACUAGCUGUUUCGAGUGUCGACCCUCGGAGUGGCGAAGCUAACGCGUUAAGUCGGCCGCCUGGGGAGUACGGUCGCAAGACUAAAACUCAAAGGAAUAGACGGGGACUCGCACAAGCGGUGGAGCAUGUGGUUUAAUUCGACGGUAAGCGAAGAACCUUACCAGGGCUUGAAAUGCACUUGAAGACCGGCAGAAACGUCGGUCGUCUCUCAAGGACAAGUGCACAGGUGCUGCAUGGUUGUCGUCAGCUCGUAUCGUGAGACGUUCCCUUAAGUGGGGUAACGAGCGCAACCCCUAUCUGGUGUUAUAAGUGUCACCGGAAACCGCCCCCGUUUUUGCCCCCGACCUUGCGUCGGAGUCAAAAACGGGGGAGGAAGGCGGGGAUGACGUCAAAUCCGCAUGGCCCUCUGAUGCCCUGGGCCACACACGUGCUACAAUGGCCGUUACAAAGGGUUGCCAAGCCGCAAGGCGGAGCUAAUCCCAAAAACACGGCCCCAGUUCAGAUUGAAGGCUGCAACUCGCCUUCAUGAAGUUGGAAUCGCUAGUAAUCGUAGGUCAGCUACACUACGGUGAAUACGUUCUCGAGUCCUGUACUCACAAU